rnacentral:rRNA from 1 species
AACGCUAGCUACAGGCUUAACACAUGCAAGUCGAGGGGCAGCGAGAAAGUGCUUGCACUUUUGUCGGCGACCGGCGCACGGGUGAGUAACACGUAUGCAACCUGCCCUUGUCAGGGGGAUAAGCGGGGGAAACCCCGUCUAAUACCGCAUAUAUGGUUUGGAGGCAUCUUUAAAUCAGGAAAGAAUUAUCGGACAAGGAUGGGCAUGCGGGACAUUAGGUAGUUGGGGGUGUAACGGACCACCAAGCCGACGAUGUCUAGGGGUUCUGAGAGGAAGGUCCCCCACACUGGUACUGAGACACGGACCAGACUCCUACGGGAGGCAGCAGUGAGGAAUAUUGGUCAAUGGGCGAGAGCCUGAACCAGCCAAGUCGCGUGAGGGAUGACGGUACUAAGUAUUGUAAACCUCUUUUGUCAGGGAACAAAGAGACCACGUGUGGUAAGAUGAGUGUACCUGAAGAAAAAGCAUCGGCUAACUCCGUGCCAGCAGCCGCGGUAAUACGGAGGAUGCGAGCGUUAUCCGGAUUUAUUGGGUUUAAAGGGUGCGUAGGCGGUAUAGCAAGUCAGCGGUUAAAUGUCGGGGCUCAACCUCGGCCUGCCGUUGAAACUGUUGUACUAGAGAGAAUGAGAAGUAUGCGGAAUGCGUGGUGUAGCGGUGAAAUGCUUAGAUAUCACGAAGAACUCCGAUUG